rnacentral:rRNA from 1 species
GACAGAAGAUGCAAGCGUUACUCGGAAUUACUGGGCGUAAAGGGUCCGCAUGUGUCCCACCACGUCUGGGGUAAAAGCACGUCGCUCAACGGCGUGUAUGUCCCGGAAACGAGUGGGAUUGAGCUAUCCAGAGGCAUCUGGAAUGCCGUGUGUAGGGGUAAAAUCCGUUGAUCCACGGUGGAACGCCAAAAGCGAAAGCAGGAUGCUGGGGAUGUGCUGACACUCAGGGACGAAAGCGUGGGGAGCAAACGGG